UUGGAGGGCAAGUCUGGUGCCAGCAGCCGCGGUAAUUCCAGCUCCGAUAGCGUAUAUUAAAGUUGUUGCAGUUAAAAAGCUCGUAGUUGAAUUUCGGGACCAAUUUGUUGGUCGUGCCUCGGUACGUACUGGUAUUAUUGGUUUCUCCCUUCUGAGGAACCUCGAUGCCAUUAAUUUGGUGUCGUGGGGAAUCAGGACUGUUACUUUGAAAAAAUUAGAGUGUUUAAAGCAAGCAUACGCUUGAAUACAUUAGCAUGGAAUAAUGAAAUAGGACGCUUGAUUCUAUUUUGUUGGUUUCUAGGAUCGACGUAAUGAUUAAUAGGGAUAGUUGGGGGCAUUAGUAUUCAAUUGUCAGAGGUGAAAUUCUUGGAUUUAUUGAAGACUAACUACUGCGAAAGCAUUUGCCAAGGAUGUUUUCAUUAAUCAAGAACGAAAGUUAGGGGAUCGAAGACGAUCAGAUACCGUCGUAGUCUUAACCAUAAACUGUGCCGACUAGGGAUCGGAUGAUGUUAAUUUUUUAAUGACUCAUUCGGCGCCUUACGGGAAAC
rnacentral:rRNA from 1 species